ensembl:lncRNA
AUGAAACAGAGGGAGGCAGGUGUAGAAGCAUGGAGAUGUGGCCAAGACAGAGAGAAGGACGAGACGUUUCUCCUAAAAAGAGAAGAAAUGAUGGACGAAUGGAGGGCAGGAAACGAGAGAGGGAGGGACGAGUCUUUUACCUCUCAGGCAAGAGAUGAAGAGAUGGACGAAUGGAGGGCUGGAAUGGAGAGAGGGAGGGAGGAAUCUCAUCUGCUGGAGAUGAGAAGUGGAAGGAUGGAAGUGUGGCGCGGGGAGACAAACCAGCAAGAGACUUUUAUAACACAGAAGAACGACUUUGGGAUUGAUGGAUGGAGAGGUGGGAUGGACAGAGAAAAAGACGAAUCCUUGUUUUUAAAGGACAGGGAUGGGUGGAGAGCGGGGAUCGAACGAGAGAGUGAGAAACAGAAGGAUCGAGCGCUGGAUGUGUGGAGAGGAGGAAUGGAUAUAGACAGGGACGAAUCUUUCCUGUUCGAGAGCAAAGACGGCGGUCUCGACGGGAGGAAAAGAGGGAAAGAUAGAGGGUCUCUUCGGUAUCACGGCGAACGGGAAGAUUCUGACAGCUUCGCUCUACCUUUGACCCCUGACCUCGACCUCGACACUGACUCCUCACCUAUCUACGCUCAAGAUCUAAACCCCUCCCCACUCUACCCAGGAGAGCGACGCUCGCCUCCCCUCGGCAUCUUCCCCCGAAGCUCCCCGCCAACGAACAUCUUCGCCCCGCGAGAAACUAACUCGCCUCCAAACAAUCUCUACUCGCGCCACUCCCCCCAGAUGUACAGCCGGAGCAGCUCCCCGCCGCGCUUCUACACACGCACCUCCCCUCCGACCCUCUCGUACCCGGACAGCAGCCCGGAAGGUCCAGAAGAGGUCAGCAGCCCCGUUGGGCAGCCUCAGCGGCCGGCCCUGGAGCUGCCCUACAGCCUGGGCCGACCCCCGCUGGGCCCACGGCCCAAUCACCUGCAGACCUUCUACCAGCCUCCGCCGCUGCCGUCCAACGGGGAGGCAGCGUACUCAGCGGAGCCCACGUCGGAGGGAGAGGACGGACAGAUGCAGCGGGUGACCAGCCUGUGA